UAGGGAGACCUAUUUAUGUCUAGACUGAACCAAUACAGAAUUAGGUCAGACAUAAGUCAUCCCAAGGUCGUUCGAGAUUUAUUGGAAAGCUUUCAAACUAAGUCAGGUUCUAAAUUUGGCUAACAUAAAGGGCCAUUAGCUCAGUUGGUUAGAGCGCACCCCUGAUAAGGGUGAGGUCACUGGUUCGUGUCCAGUAUGGCCCACUUGAGAAGCUAGCAACUAGAAGCCAAAAGCUGAAAGUAAUAGUUAACUCUGGGGAUAUAGCUCAGUUGGUAGAGCGCCUGCUUUGCACGCAGGAAGUCAGGAGUUCGAAUCUCCUUAUCUCCACCAAACUACUAACAAAGACCAACAAAAGCAAAAGCAAGAGUUUAGCAACUCAUCUAGUUAGGUAACACCUAAACAACUAGAGAGACUGCUAAAUUCUAGCGAAAGCGAGAAUUUAGAAAGAACCUUGAAAACUGCAUAGUAAUAGUAAUAAGAAGCAAGUAGAUCCAAAGUG
rnacentral:tRNA from 1 species